rnacentral:rRNA from 1 species
CCUACGGGUGGCAGCAGUGGGGAAUAUUGGGCAAUGGGCGCAAGCCUGACCCAGCAACGCCGCGUGAAGGAAGAAGGCUUUCGGGUUUUAAACUUCUUUUAAUAGGGAAGAGCAGAAGACGGUACCUCUUUAAUAAGCCACGGCUAACUACGUGACAGCAGCCGCGGUAAUACGAAGGUGGCAAGCGUUGUACGGAUUUACUGGGUGUACAGGGCGUGCAGCCGGGAAGACAAGACAGAGGUGAAAUCCCGCGGCUCAACCGCGGAACUGCAUGUGAAACUGUUUUUCUUGAGUACCGGAGAGGUCAGCGGAAUUCCUUGUGUAGCGGUGAAAUGCGUAGAUAUCAGGAAGAACACCAGUGGCGAAGGCGGAUUACUGGACGGCAACUGACGGUGAGGCGCGAAAGCGUGGGGAGCAAACAGGAUUAGAUACCCGAGUAGUC